CAAUGUUCUAUUUCACAGGGUUGGACACUCGAUCACCAUGCCCAGGUGCGCACGAUUAUCUGUUCGACAAAAGAGGGGCUUACGGCUGUCAAUAUUAUUGCAAGAAGAGGCCUCACGAGAUCGUCGAUCGUCCUGAUGGUCAUCAGUGUCUGGACCCCAGAACGGCACGUACUGGCGGAUGUCGUGGAGGUUAUUGCCAUAAGUUCUAUAGCUGGGAUGUCUGAAGAUAUCAAGAUAGAAAUCGAGAAAUAUCUGGUUGUUUUGCUUGUCAAUGCCUCUGUUGGAUCGAUAAAACCUAUUUGCAUGUU